rnacentral:rRNA from 1 species
CAGCCGCCGCGGGAAUACGGAGGGUGCAAGCGUUAAUCGGAAUUACUGGGCGUAAAGCGCACGCAGGCGGUUUGUUAAGUCAGAUGUGAAAUCCCCGAGCUUAACUUGGGAACUGCAUUUGAAACUGGAAAGCUAGAGUCUUGUAGAGGGGGGUAGAAUUCCAGGUGUAGCGGUGAAAUGCGUAGAGAUCUGGAGGAAUACCGGUGGCGAAGGCGGCCCCCUGGACAAAGACUGACGCUCAGGUGCGAAAGCGUGGGGAGCAAACAGGAUUAGAUACCCGUGUAGUCCCUGUCUCUUAUAC